CCUACGGGAGGCAGCAGUGAGGAAUAUUGGUCAAUGGACGAGAGUCUGAACCAGCCAAGUAGCAUGAAGGAUGACUGCCCUCUGGGUUGUAAACUUCUUUUAUAAAGGAAUAAAACGAGGCACGUGUGCCUUUUUGCAUGUACUUUAUGAAUAAGGAUCGGCUAACUCCGUGCCAGCAGCCGCGGUAAUACGGAGGAUCCGAGCGUUAUCCGGAUUUAUUGGGUUUAAAGGGAGCGUAGAUGGGUUGUUAAGUCAGUUGUGAAAGUUUGCGGCUCAACCGUAAAAUUGCAAUUGAUACUGGCAGUCUUGAGUACAGUUGAGGUAAGCGGAAUUCGUGGUGUAGCGGUGAAAUGCGUAGAUAUCACGAAGAACCCCGAGUGCGAAGGCAGCUUACUAAACUGUGACUGACAUUGAUGCUCGAAAGUGUGGGUAGCAAACAGGAUUAGAUACCCGUGUAGUC
rnacentral:rRNA from 1 species